rnacentral:ncRNA from 22 species
AUGCCACGUCCCCGGAGCGGUCCGGGGACGAAUUGGGUCUGGGAGCCCAGGAAGACCGGUGGGAAUCCGGCGCAGCCCCGCUACGGUGUGGACUUUGAGUCCGAGCCCGACACUGGCCCCAGGUCCUGGAUGCGGC